rnacentral:rRNA from 1 species
GAUGAACGCUGGCGGCGUGCCUAAUACAUGCAAGUCGAGCGAACGGACGAGAAGCUUGCUUCUCUGAUGUUAGCGGCGGACGGGUGAGUAACACGUGGAUAACCUACCUUUAAGACUGGGAUAACUUCGGGAAACCGGAGCUAAUACCGGAUAAUAUUUUUAACCGCAUGGUUCAAAAGUGAAAGACGCUAUUGCUGUCACUUAUAGAUGGAUCCGGUUUGCAUUAGCUAGUUGGUAAGGUAACGGCUUACCAAGGGUACGAUGUCUACGGGCGAUGAGAGGGGAAACCCCCACACUGGUACGGAGACACGGACCAGACGCCUACGGGAGGAAGCAGUAAGGAAUAUUGGGCAAGGGACGGAAGUCUGAACCAGCCAGGCCGCGUGCAGGAAGACGGCCCUAUGGGUUGUAAACUGCCUGUAAACGGGAACAAACGUCGGUACGGGUACCGGUCUGAGUGUACCGAAAGAAUAAGGAACGGCUAACUCCGUG